rnacentral:rRNA from 1 species
AACGAACGCUGGCGGCGCGCCUAAUACAUGCAAGUCGAGCGAGAAGGUGUAGCAAUACACUUGUAAAGCGGCGAACGGGUGAGGAAUGCAUGGGUAACCUACCCUCGAGUGGGGAAUAACUAGCCGAAAGGUUAGCUAAUACCGCAUACGUUUCCGGAACUUCGGUUUCGGAAAGAAAGCAAUACCGUGGGUAUUGCGCUCCUGGAUGGGCUCAUGUCCUAUCAGCUUGUUGGUGAGGUAACGGCUCACCAAGGCUUCGACGGGUAGCUGGUCUGAGAGGACGAUCAGCCACACUGGCACUGCGACACGGCCCAGACUCCUACGGGAGGCAGCAGUGGGAAUAUUGGACAAUGGGCGCAAGCCUGAUCCAGCAACGCCGCGUGAAUGAUGAAGGCCUUCGGGUCGU